rnacentral:miRNA from 1 species
GCAAUUUAGUUUCUCUCUCUCUCUCUCUCUCUCUCUCUCUCUCUCUCUCUCUCUCUCUCUCUCUUUCACACACACACACACACACACACACACACAGAGAGAGAGAGAGAGAGAGAGAGAGAGAGAGAGAGAGAGAGACUAGUUUU